rnacentral:snRNA from 1 species
AUCGCUUCUCCGCCUUUUGGCUAAGAUCAAAGGGUGCAGCAUCUGUUCUUAUCAGCUUAAUUGUGCGUAGAAAGCGGCUAAACAUUGACUGUUGCCUUCUGAUUUAGUGGUUGUAAUGACAAUUUUGCGUACUUACGUACUUACC